rnacentral:rRNA from 1 species
AUGCGAAAAAUCCCGACUCACGAAGGGAUGCUUUUAUUAGAUCAAAACCAAACAGCUUCGGCUGUAACACUGGUGACUCUGAAUAACUUUGGGCUGAUCGCAUUGCCUUGAGCAGGCGACAUUUCCUUCGAAGGUGUGCCCUAUCAACUGUCGACUGUGAUAUAGACGCUCACAGUGGUUUUGACGGGUAACGGGGAAUCAGGGUUCGAUUCCGGAGAGGGAGCCUUAAAAACGGCUACCACAUCCAAGGAAGGCAGCAGGCACGCAAAUUACCCAAUGAACGAAGUUCGAGGUAGUGACGAAAAAUAACAAUACAAGACUCAUCCGAGGCCUUGUAAUUGGAAUGAGUACACUUUAAAACCGUUUCACGAGGAUCUAUUGGAGGGCAAGUCUGGUGCCAGCAGCCGCGGUAAUUCCAGCUCCAAUAGCGUAUAUUAAAGUUGUUGUGGUUAAAAAGCUCGUAGUUGGAUUUCGGCGGGUAUUGGUUGGUUUGAAUUGCUUCAACACUGACUUUUUUACCCGUGUGUUUUGCCAGAAUUUAGCGGGUGAUCUUCGCCGAUUGUCCGUUGGAACUGGUAGGUUUACUUUGAAAAAAUUAGAGUGCUCAAAGCAAGCUUACUGCUUGAAUAGUUGCGCAUGGAAUAAUAGAAUAGGAAGUCGUUUCUAUUUUGUUGGUUUUCGGAAAUCGACUUAAUGAUUAAUAGGGAUAGUCGGGGGCAUUCGUAUUCAAACGACAGAGGUGAAAUUCUUGGACCGUUUGAAGACGAACUAAGGCGAAAGCAUUUGCCAAGAAUGUUUUCAUUAAUCAAGAACGAAAGUUAGAGGUUCGAAGGCGAUUAGAUACCGCCCUAGUUCUAACCAUAAACGAUGCCAGCUAGCGAUCUGCCGGCGUUUAAUUUUCUGACUUGGCAGGGAGCUUCCGGGAAACCAAAGCUUGUGGGUUCCAGGGGAAGUAUGGUUGCAAAGCUGAAACUUAAAGUAAUUGACGGAAGGGCACCACCAGGAGUGGAGCCUGUGGCUUAAUUUGACUCAACACGGGAAAUCUCACCAGGCCCGGACACUAGUAGGAUUGACAGAUUGAUAGCUCUUUCUUGAUUUGGUGGGUGGUGGUGCAUGGCCGUUCUUAGUUGGUGGAGUGAUUUGUCUGGUUAAU